UACGUAGGUGACAAGCGUUGUCCGGAUUUACUGGGCGUAAAGAGCGCGCAGGCGGUCGUUCAAGUCGAGUGUGAAAGCCCCCGGCUCAACUGGGGAGGGUCAUUCGAUACUGAUCGACUCGAAGGCAGGAGAGGGAAGUGGAAUUCCCGGUGUAGUGGUGAAAUGCGUAGAUAUCGGAAGGAACAUCAGUGGCGAAAGCGGCUUCCUGGACCAGCACCGACGUUCAGGCACGAAAGCGUGGGGAGCAAACAGG
rnacentral:rRNA from 1 species